UGGGGAAUAUUGCGCAAUGGGCGAAAGCCUGACGCAGCGACGCCGCGUGGGUGAGGAAGGCCUUCGGGUCGUAAAGCCCUGUCAAAGGGGAAGAAGCAAGUGACGGUACCCUUAAAGGAAGCACCGGCUAACUCCGUGCCAGCAGCCGCGGUAAUACGGAGGGUGCAAGCGUUGUUCGGAAUCAUUGGGCGUAAAGCGAGUGUAGGCGGUAUAUUAAGUCAGAGGUGAAAGCCCUGGGCUCAACCCGGGAAGUGCCUUUGAUACUGGUAUACUUGAGUACGGGAGAGGGUAGCGGAAUUCCAAGUGUAGAGGUGAAAUUCGUAGAUAUUUGGAGGAACACCGGUGGCGAAGGCGGCUACCUGGACCGAUACUGACGCUGAGACUCGAAAGCGUGGGGAGCAAACA
rnacentral:rRNA from 1 species